GAAGAUGAAGAAGGCAUGAAGAGAGUAGUGAGGGAGCCCAGAAGGCUGUAUGCAGACCAGGGUUGGGCAGUUGGUACCUGUGAAGAAGCUUUUUGGCGGGUGUGGACCAACAAGAGGGAUGACCUGAGAAGACAACGAAGUGGAAAGGCAGAGGCCCACAGGUUGUCUGCUAAGAACAGCAAAAGGGUCAGAUCUAAACUGGAAAGCAGGAUGAAGGCCAUUGCAACUAUAGACUGACCAGAGAAGAAGAAGGAGAAAGUUCUUCCUCUCUUGAGGAAAGAGCUGACAUCACCUAUGGUGUCAGAUGAAGAGGAUGAAAAUCUUCUGUUGUCAACUGCUUUCUGGUGGGAAAGCAAGGAACUUUCUUCAUAUAAGCGGCAAUUGGACUACCAGCGGUUGUUCAAGGCUACUGCCAGAGGCCGAAAAAAUAUGAAGAUGUGGGGAAGACAUCCCACAGAAGUCCAACACGCUGAUCUGCCACUGGACAUGCCCAGUUGGGCAGUGAAAAGUUCAGUUGAAGAAGACCAGCUGAACAACACUGCUGAUUAUGAUUCCUGAGACGCAUUUCUGAUGUCCC
rnacentral:lncRNA from 1 species